rnacentral:rRNA from 1 species
GACAGAGGGGGCAAGCGUUGCUCGGAAUCACUGGGCGUAAAGGGCGCGUAGGCGGGAUGGCAAGUCGGUCGUGAAAUCCUUCGGCUCAACCGAAGAACGUCGGCCGAUACUGCUGUUCUUGAGGGAUGCAGAGGAGAUUGGAAUUCCCGGUGUAGCGGUGAAAUGUGUAGAGAUCGGGAGGAACAUCUGUGGCGAAGGCGACUGCCUGGACCAGCACUGACACUGAGGCACGAAAGCGUGGGGAGCAAACAGG